UACGUAGGGGGCUAGCGUUGCUCGGAAUUACUGGGCGUAAAGCGCACGUAGGCGGCUCUUUAAGUCGGAGGUGAAAUCCUGGAGCUCAACUCCAGAACUGCCUUCGAUACUGUAGAGCUUGAGUUCGGGAGAGGUGAGUGGAACUGCGAGUGUAGAGGUGAAAUUCGUAGAUAUUCGCAAGAACACCAGUGGCGGAGGCGGCUCACUGGCCCGAUACUGACGCUGAGGUGCGAAAGCGUGGGGAGCAAACAGG
rnacentral:rRNA from 1 species